rnacentral:rRNA from 1 species
GAUGAACGCUGGCGGCGUGCUUAACACAUGCAAGUCGAACGAAAAGACCCUGCUUGCGUGGUGUUCUCGAGGGGAACGGGUGUGUGACACACGAGUAUACCGCCCUUUACUCUUUGGUAUGCCUUGAGGAAUGGGUGUAUAAUCCCAUAUAGGAGUCCCCCCCACGUUGGGGGUUGGGGAGAUUUUCGGCUGUUGGGGAUGGACUCGCGGCUUAUGAGCUUGUUGGUGGGGUAGUGGCUUACCAAGGCCUAGACGGGUACCCGGCCUGAGAGGGUGACCGGCCACAUUGGGACUGAGAUACGGCCCAGACUCCUACGGGAGGCAGCAGUGGGGAAUAUUGCACAAUGGGCGGAAGCCUGAUGCAGCGACGCCGCGUGCGGGAUGACGGCCUUCGGGUUGUAAACCGCUUUCGGUUGUGACGAAGCGAGAGUGACGGUACCUGGAAAAGAAGCACCGGCUAACUACGUG